GUCAGGAUGGCCCGGGGUCUAAGGCGCUGCGUUCAGGUCGCGGUCUCCCCUGGGCGUGGGUUCAAAUCCCAUUUCUGACA